CCUACGGGCGGCUGCAGUGGGGAAUAUUGCACAAUGGGCGCAAGCCUGAUGCAGCCAUGCCGCGUGUGUGAAGAAGGCCUUCGGGUUGUAAAGCACUUUCAGCGGGGAGGAAGGCGGUGAGGUUAAUAACCUCAUCGAUUGACGUUACCCGCAGAAGAAGCACCGGCUAACUCCGUGCCAGCAGCCGCGGUAAUACGGAGGGUGCAAGCGUUAAUCGGAAUUACUGGGCGUAAAGCGCACGCAGGCGGUUUGUCAAGUCGGAUGUGAAAUCCCCGGGCUCAACCUGGGAACUGCAUUCGAAACUGGCAGGCUAGAGUCUUGUAGAGGGGGGUAGAAUUCCAGGUGUAGCGGUGAAAUGCGUAGAGAUCUGGAGGAAUACCGGUGGCGAAGGCGGCCCCCUGGACAAAGACUGACGCUCAGGUGCGAAAGCGUGGGGAGCAAACAGGAUUAGAUACCCGGGUAGUC
rnacentral:rRNA from 1 species